rnacentral:sRNA from 13 species
CUGCGGCAGCGGUGGUUGUGUGCGCUCGUCCCUUGGAUUCACCACCAGGACUCCACACUCAGCUCCAGUGCCUUGAAAAGUGUUUAGUGUGCAAAUAAUCAAACCAAGAAACCAAAAAACCCAAAAAAAAAACAAAAUAGAAGAAAAACUGCCAAGGAAAAAGUAACCAUUAGAGAAGUGGUUAAAGUGACAAAACCUGAAACUGUCGAGGACAUUAUUGUGUGAGUGAGAUAAGGACUUGCCGAGACAGUGGCCCGAUGACUACGACAAUGGCUACGCCCAAGGCCUAGGCAAGUUGAACGCCCACACAAGCGCAAUGAAACACACACACACACACACGCACACACGGAAACACACACUCGCAGGACGAACAGGAGGAGCAGGACACGCAGCCUGGCAAAUGGCUUGUUUUCGGUUCUUAAAUUGUUUUAUUUUUCCCCAGCCAUCCUCCUUUAUUAUUUAGCGCGGUUCGUCCUGUGCACUGUGUGGACAUUAUGUGGCCAGGACCUCCUGCCAUAUGUUUACUCAGUAUUUGUGUGGGUGGCUCGACGGGGCGCUCUUUAAAUUGAAAUAAAACAAGCCAACGAGAAACCAACGACAUCCCUUUAAGCUAAUGGAGAGCCUUAUCUGUGGCCGAUCCAUCGAGCUUUGCACUGCGACCCCACACAUUAUCAUUCACAACUCAUCCGAUUGUCAUUGUCUAUGUCUUCCUGGCAUCAGUGGGGCAGGAGCUGGAGUGGAAUCAGGACUGGAGGAGGAGCAGGACUAAAAGUGCUGGAAUAGAAGCUGCAUCUCCAUCCUCCAACCACCGACAUCGCCAUCUCAACGCGGCUUACGAUUUUGCGCUUGCAUUCAUUUUUAAAAGACCUAGGACCCAGGGGCAUGCUUAUGCAGGUAUGCAGGAUGGAGGAUGCAGGAUACAGGGAUACUCUCCAUUGUCUGCAGGACAGCGGCAACAACCUCCGAAUCGUGUUCCAUCUCGCCAUCUUCAUCUCGUCAUGCGCUAAUGGCACAAGAUUCCCAAAAAAGGACGAAAGCAUAUGUGGCUGCAUGAAGUGCUGCCUCUGCCUUUGAAUGACUGAAAGCUGGCGAGGAUUAGCCACAAGGACAGCGGUAAGUGGCCGUCGAGUCUGGCAAAUUAUGCAACUUAAUGCGCUCGUAUGCCAAUGUACAUAAUGCAUAAUUAAUUUGGCCCGACAUGCACAACCUGUUGAGCCGCAAAAGCACUCACCUUGGCGUCCUUCACUCCACCCUUACCGCCUCGAAUCCCGUUGCCAUUCCAACUGAGCCGCUGCCUCAUUGAAAAGUGGCAUAACGAGCUCUUGUGCCCCGGCUUAAAAGCGCUUACAAAUUGCUACAUGAAAAUGUCUGCCAAGCGAGGCGGUGGAAGGCGGAGGAGGCGGGGGAAAAGCGAGGAAAAUGGAAAACGUAAGGGCAGCGCAAAUGAAGCUGUGAAAGAGGGGCACCGGCGGGGGCUUUCAUCAACACUUCAGGGCUAUUGCAAAGGGCAAGUUGAAAACUGAAACUGCAACUGAAGCGCUUUUCCACACACACCCACACACACACACACACGUUGGAAAACACGGCGGAGAGUGAAAAAACCUCCGGCUUUUUAAUGAGUCAAGUGGCCAACACGUGAAACACUCACAGAAUGCACUGAGAACAUUCAUAUGUAAUGAAGGUAUGAAUAAUAUCUAUUAACUAGAGAUAGCCUGCUAUAAAUACUAAUAAUAUUUAAUAAUGCCACAAAUUUAGUGUAAUAAUAAUUAUUUUAAAAAAUUCCUGAGGCAAUAGCUUUAUACCUUUAGGCAAUGGUUUUAGUAUAACGAAUCGCUUCUCAAACUAUAUAACUAAUUAAAAUUUAUAGGUAGAUCAAACGCGAACAUUUGUUUCCAGUGCACACAUAUCCGUGUGUAAUGACGCACAUUUUGACUGACUUUUGUGCGAAUGUAGUCGAACGAAAUAAACCGUUUUGCCUUUGAGCCGAAUUGAGUUUCAUUUGAGUUGGCCCGCUGAUUCGUUCACUCGUUUUCGUUUUCGGGCGUCAUGCCAACGCCGUUUGAGUUUUUGCCUUGCUUUUAUAAUUGCAUGUCGACUCUUAAUGAGCUGGGCGCCAUGCAAUUUGUACUUUCGCUGAGCAAACAGCGAAAAGCGAACAGGAGGCUAAAAGCAAAGGAUUUCCCAUUUUCCUGCCACUUGAAGUUGGCGCUGCGGAUGGGGUUUGCCUGUUUCGGAGUUGCCGGGAAAAACUCUGCGAAAAAUAGAGCGCAGAAAGUUGGGCUCUUGUUCAAAUGGAUUUCGGUCGUAAGCGAAAUAAAACCGCAAAACUCAAAAUGAAAUGAGUAAAUUGCGGUUGAAGUUGCCAAAAGCUUCAGCACUCCUGCCUUUUUUGGAAUGUGUGGUUUUCGUUUUGCUUGGCCACAUCUGCGGCACUCUGCACAGAAAAUAUCCUUAAAGUUUUUCAAGCUUUAAAAAGGCGAAAAGAUAAAGCCAUUUGAAUAGCAAACAUUCUUUUUGCCCGAAAUUGCGUAAAUAUAUGUGGGAUAUCGAAAGCAAACAUAUUCCGCUUAUCAAGGCACUUUGCAAAAACGUUUUAUUUGAUUUACUAUCCGAUGCUUAGAUUUCGAAAUUAUAUGAAAAUGUACAUACAUAUAUCUUUAAAACUCUGCAUACUCGAAAAUUCUAUUUAUUUUCUAUGCUUGCUCAGUUUGCCUGGCAACGUCGUUUCUUCGGCGAAACCUGUGAAAAUGCCUUUCAUCGCAGCCGGCAACCAUAAAGAUUUAACCGAUAAUAGGAUACACAAAACGAAUGUGAAUUUUUCAGUUCUUAAUGCCAAAACGAAGUCAGAGGCUAAACAUAAGAGUCGAAGACCAUAAACAAUCCUGACAGGACGUGAGGAGGAGCAGGGGAAGGACCUGAGACCUGGGCAAAUAGCAAGCGAGGGGUGAAUAGCUUUAAAGCUGAUGCAUAAAAUAUUGCGUAUACGCCCCAUUAUGCCAUACGACGAACGCACAACGACACAUGGGGCAGACGAACAUGAACGGCAGACUUCUAAACCAUAUAUCGUAUGUAUAAUUGAAAACAAAUUUUACUGCAUGUAAUUGAGUGUGUUUGUUUGCGGACUAGUGCCUAUACAUACACAUAUGCAGCUCGAAGUGUUUGUGUGUGUGGGCGGGUGGGUGUGUCUUGAUAUCGAUAACGAAUGCCACAAAUUGAAUUUAAAUCAUAUUACAUACAAACAAGCAGCACAGACACAAAACAGGCCGGGUUUUCGACUGGGGAUAGGGAUUGGGCUCUUGGCCGCGCCAUCGCCAUCCUCGCUUGUUUUAUUUAUGGCUGCAACAGCAACGAUAACAAGUGCAACUGCAACAGCUACACGGAGAAAAAAUCUAGGAACUAAAAUGAAGAUAUAACAUUUUGGUUUGAGUCAAGACAACGAAAUAAAUAUACCAUUUAAUUUUUGCAGACGUCCUCGUGAAUCAAAAUUGUUGUCUGUUGAAAUGUGGUUCUAAUUGGCAAGACUAUGACUUUAUAAAUUCGUAUUUAAACAAGAAGAUCUGUAUUGCAAUUUCGAAAUGUAAUCCACUUAAUAGAGCACAAAAUCUGCUCACUGGAAUUUCAGAUCAAAAUCUUGAAUUUGAAUUGUGGUUUUCCCCGUGUACCACAACCAAAGUUUGAGCAACGCCUUUGCCUUCGCAUUGAGCCGCAUUUGAAUUCGGGUUUUGAGAUUUUCAUUUUAUGCAUUCAGUGCACACGCUCAGCCGAAACAAGCCAGCCAAUCUCCUCGAAUAUCCUUCCAAGGAUAUUCCGCCUCCGACUCCCCGUCCUCUUAAUUGCCUGCUCUGCAUUGGGAUGCCAUAAAUUUAUGCAUUGCAUUCUGGCAGCAGCCAAACGUAUUGCCCCGCCACUGCCAUAGAAAUUGGCUCACAAUCUGACAAUGGCACCCAAAGCGAGUCCAUCCGGAAGACACCGCCCAGACGGAGGCCGUAAAUAAAUGUUUGAUAAGCAGUCAAUAUGAUUUGAUGGGGGAAAAGCAAUUAAAGUCGAUCGCUUAAAACGAAAUUUAAAUGCUGUCAAAAUAAGAAAGUCCCCCGAUAGAAUAGAUAGAUAUUUACCCAGCAAUUUGCUCAGACAAACAGCCGUCGCAUCUCAGGGGCAUCUAUGCCAGAAAUCGAACUGGGAUGCUCGCAAAAAUCCAUGUGAUGUGCAAAUAAACGGCCACUAAGUUAUGGGCUCAAGUCAAUUCCGACACUCGAGGUGUCCAUCCGAGCUGGCACGACCCAAUAUCUGGAAGCUCUGAAUGGAGUUGGACUUAGUCCUUCUGCUUAGAGGAACGUGUUUUCGCCUGACUUGGGAACGUGACGCACGUGCGUGCAAAAAUUCAAAGGACCCAAACUCGGGGAGGUGCACUACGUAUUGACGUUAAUAUUUUGCUCGGCACUUGUAACGUGGUGCAAUGCAAAAUGCGAAGCUGAAAAAUAAAACGCAAAACUGAAAGGAGUAAAUACCAGGCGCAAACUAGAAAUGCGCAGGGAAAAAAUGUUGCGACUCAAGUGAAUUGCGAAAGAAUUGUUCUUAAAACUCUCAAAAUUAGUUGCUGAACUAUAAUUCGGAAAAAAAUAAUACUGAGAAAAGUGAGUACUUGGAAUACACUCAG